UACGUAGGGAGCAAGCGUUGUCCGGAUUUACUGGGUGUGAAGGGUGCGUAGGCGGCAAUGCAAGUCAGAUGUGAAAUCUAUGGGCUCAACCCAUAAACUGCAUUUGAAACUGCGUUGCUUGAGUGAAGUAGAGGCAGGCGGAAUUCCCCGUGUAGCGGUGAAAUGCGUAGAGAUGGGGAGGAACACCAGUGGCGAAGGCGGCCUGCUGGGCUUUAACUGACGCUGAGGCACGGAAGCGUGGGUAGCAAACAGG
rnacentral:misc_RNA from 1 species